rnacentral:misc_RNA from 1 species
AACGCACCUUGCACCCUUUGGUAUUCCGAAGGGUAUGCCUGUUUGAGUGUCAUUAAAUUCUCAACCAUUGAACUUGUUUCUUUGGCUUGGAUGUGGGAGUUGCAGGCUUCGUAAAGAGGUCAGCUCUCCUUAAAUGCAUUAGUGGAAACCGCUUGAGGAUUCAUUUCACUUUUGGCGUGAUAGUAUCGUCGUCGAAGGGUUUAUGUUUCCGAGGUAUCUACUUUCUAACCGUCCGAAAGGACACUUUAAUGACUUGUUUGACCUCAAAUCAGGUAGGACUACCCGCUGAACUUAA